UCCUUCUAACCACUUCUCUCUCUGCUUUCUCUCUCUACGCUUAUCUCUCUAACCUCUUCUCUUCUUCUUCAUUUUCAGGUAAAUGCAGGAGUCAGAUAAUAAUUAACGUUGUAAUUCAGUCAAUUGUUCCAUUAAUUAAUAAGAAUUCAUGUUUCGACUUGUUCUUCUCCAAUUUCUUAUUUAUAUUCCAGUACAUAACAAAUUGGUAUCAGAGCUUGAUCCUCGCACCGCAAUGAAAGUGUUAAGAAAUUAGAGAAUCAAUUGCAGAAUUACAUACAAGAAACUAAUGAGAAAUUGGAAACUAAUGAUGCAAAAAUGGAUGAUCUAGGUCAUAAAUUAGAUUUGAUGAUAGAGAAGCUCUUCGCCAACAAAGAUGGCAUCCUGGGGAGUGCGCUAGCUGAAAUCCAUGAAAGGACAGAAGGUUCUGGUAGUAGAGUGAGCAUGAUUGAGCCUUAUAAAAAUUCUGUUAGGAGAUUCCACUCUAACAGCUCAUCCAACAAGGUUGAUUGCCCUUAUUUUGAAGAAGGAGACCCUAGAUCUUGGCUACAAAAAUAUGAGAGGUAUUUUCAUUAUAAUCACAUAAUAGAUCCUCAACAAAAACUAGAAAUUGUUGUACUUCACUUGAAUGGUAGAGCUGAGUCUUGGUAUUUUUCAUAUCAACUAAGUAGGGAAAUUGUGACGUGGUCUGAUUUUGUGGAGGAAAUUUGCAAGAGGUUUAAUAAUUCUGAUAAUAGCAAUCUAAAUUUACUAGAAAAGUUCAAAAGGAUUGAACAACUAUGUCAUGUGAAUGAGUAUCUUGAGAAAUUUGAAGAUCUUAAAGCUUGGGUGUUGAUUAAACAUCCUACCAUCCCUGAAGAAUUAUUUUUAGGGUUCUUCAUUGAAGACCUUAAGGAAGAAAUUAGACACACAGUUAAAAUGUUGGACCCCUAUUCCUUGAGUCAAGCAGUAGAGAAAGCUAGACAUAAGGAAGAUCUGCUAGAGUCAAUGAACAUAAAGGGAAAGCCAGGAAUUAACAGACAAGGAACUCGGUAUAAUACUAAUCAUAGUGCAUUGGGUAUUAAAAAUUCUGGUUAUGGGCAAAAGGAGGGUAACACUAAUAUAAAAAUGCAUAGUAACAAACUGUUUGAGGCUAGAAAGGCUAAUGAGAGUGUUACAAGUGUGGGGAGAGAUAUUUCCUAGGUGAUGUGUGCAGGCAUGGAUAAAUAAAUGCCCUAUCAGGUGCUACUAAACAAGAAGAAGUGAUGGAAAGGUUCAGCUAAGAAGAAAUUAAUGAGCAAGAGGAGCCUUAUGAGGAGGUGAUUGAUGAGGCCAUCAGUUUUAAUGCCUUAUCAGGCACUGUUACUUCCAAUACAAUUAAGCUGAAGGGGAUGUAUGGAAAGCAAGGGUUGAUAAUACUAGAUGAUAGUGGGAAUACACAUGAUUUUGUGGCUAGUGACACUGCCAAACAAUUGGGUUGUGUGAUCAGAGAGGCUGCUCCUAUGAGGGUGCAUGCUGCCAAUGGUAGUCAUUUGAUGAGCUACCACUACUGCCCUCAAUUCAAAUGGAAGGUCUAAGGAGUGGAAUUUGAGUACAAACUCAGUCUGUUGGAUAUUAGAGGUUGUGAUAUAGUACUUGGUGGAGAUUGGAUGAGGAAACAUAAUCCAAUACUAUUUGAUUUCAUUGGGUAUAGGUUACAAGUCAGUGUCAAUGGGAAAAAAGGUAGAUCUGAAGGGACUUACUGAGGAAGGUAAUCUUCAAGCUAUGACAGUUUCUGGAGUGAAACAACUACUGAAGAAAGAUCAAGUGUUGUGGCACAUCUAUUUACCUUAUCAGCUAAGGAGGAAGAGAUAACAGAAUCCAUACUUGAGAAGAUCAAGACAGUGUUGAAGGACUUCACAAGAGUCUUUGCAGAGCCGAAAGCACUACAUCCAAGAAGGGACCAAGUUCAUUUCAUUCCUCUCAAACCUGAUAUAGCACCAGUCAAUGAGAUACUCACUAAUGGCACUAUACAACCCAGUCACUCACCAUUCUCUUCCCCAGUCCUUUUAGUUAAAAAGAAGGAUGGAUGUUGGAGGUUUUUCAUUGAUUAUAAAGAGUUGAAUAAGAUGACUAUUAAGGAUAAGUUUUCUAUUCCAUUAGUAGACAAUUUAAUAGAUGAACUACAUGGUUCCUGUAUCUACUCAAAGAUUGAUUUGAGUGUUGGUUAUCAUCAAAUAAGAAUGGGAGAAACUGACAUCUAUAAGAAUGCUUUUAGAACUCAUCUGGGCUAUUAUGAGUCCAGGGUCAUGCCCUUUGGCUUGACCAAUGCACCUGCAACCUUCGAGAGUCUUAUGAAUAACAUUUUAAAACCUUUUUUGAAGAAGUUUGUAUUAGUAUUCUUUGAUGAUAUUCUAGUCUAUAAUUCUUCAAUAGAAGUGCAUGCAUUGCAUCUCAGAAAAGUGUUGGAGGUGCUAUGCAGGGAACAACUCUAUGUCAAACUGUCAAAGUGUUCAUUUGGACAGGAUAGAGUUGAGUAUCUAGGCUACAUCAUUUCGGGGAAGGGAGUCUCCACUGACCCUUCAAAAAUUGAAGCAAUGAUCAACUGGUCUGUUCCUAAAUCUGUGAAGGCUUUAAGUGGUUUCUAGGCUUACUAGCUACUAUAGAAUGUUUGUUAAGUCAUAUGGAGUUAUCAGCAGGCCACUGACAAAUCUUCUAAAAAAGAACUCCUUUCAGUGGAGUACAUAAGCAGAAGUGGUCUUCCAACAGUGAAAGGAGGCUAUGUCAACAGUGCUAGUAUUGGCUCUAGUUGAUUUUACCAAACCUUUUACUAUUAAAACUGAUGCAUGUGAAACAUAUAUGGGAGUUGUACUCAUGCAGGGAGGUUGGCCUAUAGCCUAUUUCAGCAAGGCCCUAGCUUUGAAACACAGAGGACUCUCUACUUAUGAAAAUGAGUAUCUAGUUGUACUUUCUGCAGUAGUUAAAUGGAGACAUUACUUACAGGGGGAAACUUUAUUGUUAAACAUACCAUCAGAGUCUAAAGUAUCUUCUGGAGCAAAAAGUCACCACAACAUUGCAGCAGAAAGGGCUCACUAAACAUCUAGGAUUGGUUUAUGAAGUGCAAUACAAAAUGGGUGUGGAGAAUAAGGUUGUAGAUGCUCUUUCAAGGAGACAGGAAAAAUACUCUACCCUAUUAGCUAUGUCUACAUCUCAGGCUACUUGGUUACAGGAGGUUUCUCAAGGUUAUGAGAAUGAUCCAAUAACUCUACAUCUUUUUAGUGAUCUAGUGAUCUAACCUAACAGCAUGGCAGACUAUUCCUUACAUAAAGGAAUCAUCAGAUUCAAACAAAAAAUCUAUAUGGGGCAGAGUAGUGGAUUGAAAAAAAAAACUAUUAGAGGCCUUGCAUCAAUCAUCCUUAGGGGGACACUCAGGCCAACAGGGAACAUACAGAAUGGUGCAGUCAAUGUUCUACUUGUCAAACAUGAAAUCAGAAGUCUUUAAGUGGGUAAGUGAAUGUGAUGUCUAUCAAAUGGUGAAAGCUGAGCAUGUACAUUCCCCUGGGUUGUUACAACCUCUACCUAUUCCAGAGCAAGCUCGGCAGGAUAUAUCCUUAGACUUUGUAGAAGGAUUGCAUGCUUCUGGUCAUAAAAAUAUUGUGUUAGUAAGCAUAGAUAGACUAACUAAGUAUGGGUAUUUCUUAGCUCUUAAACACCCAUACUCAGCACAAUAUUCGACAGAAUUAUUUAUGAGAGAGAUGUACAGGUUGCAUGGGCUUCCUAGGACCAUUGUAUAUGACAUGGAUGCCAUUUUCAACAGCCAUUUCUAGCAGUACCUCUUCAAGGCCUUAGGAACUAAGCUCAACAUGCAUUCUGCCUAUCAUCCAUAAUAAGAUGGCCAGACUGAGAGACUCAACAUGUAUUUGGAGACUUAUUUGAAAGUUAUGGUGUUUGGUAAUCCAAAACAAUGGAAAAAGUGGCUACACCUUGCAGAGUGGUGGUAUAAUACUAAUUACCACACUUCACUCACGACUAUACCAUUUGAAGCACUAUAUGGGAACCCUCCGACCCAGUUACCAUUGGGCUCAUUACCUAAUAGUGGUCACAACCCAGCAGGGGCCAGCUUAGCACAAAGACAACACAUGCUUCAGGUUCUAAGAGAUAACCUAACUCAAGCCUAAUCCAGAAAGAAAUUCUAUGCAGACAAACUAAGGACAAAGAAUAUUUGCAAUAGGGGACCUGGUCUAUCUAAAGCUACAACCUUAUAGACAAUCCUCAGUAGAUAUUCGUAGAAAUGUGAAGCUAAGUGCUCAUUAUUAUGGUCCCUACAAUAUUCUAUAGAAGAUUGCUACAUUGGCUUACCUACUUGAGCUUCCAGCAGGGUGUCAGCUACACCCAGUCUUUCACGUGUCCUUGUUGAAGAAGCGAAUCGGCCCUGCUGUGACAUCCCAACUACAACCUCCUAUUUGUGAUGAUGAAGACCGAGUCUUGAUUUAACCAUUAUCCAUUUUACAACAUAGAUUGGUCAAGGUCGACAAUGUGGUACAAGUGAAGGUGAUGAUUUAGUGGGCUAUUUUAGGUAAGGACGGGGCAUCAUGGGAGGAUUGGGGUACAUUAAGGGCAGAUUUUUGGAGUUUGUCGCACGACAACGACCUUAAGGGCAAGGUCUGUCUUUGAAGGGGUAGGUAUUGUUAUGUCUGCGUGAAUGAGGGAAAUAAGGAGUUAGGUAGAUGAGUAAGUCUAGUUAAAGGAGAUAUGGGCUGGUGCGUGUAUUGGGCCUGAGUCACAAAUUGGGCCAAGCAAUUAGAAGUAGUCAGCAACCCAGUUAUUACUUAGCCUUACUUAGCUUAAUAAAUAACAGUAAUGAGAGAGGAGGAGCUAUGCUAAAUUUCUG
rnacentral:lncRNA from 1 species